rnacentral:rRNA from 1 species
CCUACGGGAGGCAGCAGUGGGGAAUCUUGCGCAAUGCGCGAAAGCGUGACGCAGCAACGCCGCGUGGGGGAAGAAGGCCUUCGGGUUGUAAACCCCUUUCAGUUGGGACGAAGGUCCGGCCGUUAAUAGCGGUUCGGGCUGACGGUACCUUCACAAGAAGCCCCGGCUAACUACGUGCCAGCAGCCGCGGUAAUACGUAGGGGGCAAGCGUUGUCCGGAAUCAUUGGGCGUAAAGAGCGCGUAGGCGGUUCGGUAAGUCAGCUGUGAAAGUCGGGGGCUCAACCCCCGGAGGCCGGUUGAUACUGCCGGGCUAGAGUCCGGAAGAGGCGAGUGGAAUUCCUGGUGUAGCGGUGAAAUGCGCAGAUAUCAGGAGGAACACCAAUGGCGAAGGCAGCUCGCUGGGACGGUACUGACGCUGAGGCGCGAAAGCGUGGGGAGCA